AUAGUAAUUGCUACAUAAGCAUUUUGCUGUUGGUAUUUGAGGGGUCUUAGAGCAGGCAGGCAAAGACCGGGUGGACAUUCCCGGCUGGGUUGAAGGCAGGAGGAGGGGUGGGCAUCAAGGGUAGCAUGACAGGUGUGCUUGGAGGGUGUGUGAGCAGCUCGGAGUCAGGAAGAGGGGGCUCCAGCUCUGCCCACUUUCUGGGCAAGGGGAGUCCAGAAACUGGAGGCCACUUCUGCAGCCUGGCUGCGGGGUGUGCAGAGGGUGUCGCUGGUGUGGCUUAGGGGGUGUUGGGUGUUUCCGGGCUAGCUGAGAGGCUUGGCAGAUCAAAGACGGUAGAAGGCAAGGCCUCUCUACCAGGCUCUGGCUUUCCCUUCUGCAGGACCCCCAGCAGGAAGUGUUUGAUGAGUGACUGAUCCGGGGUAGUGGGACCCGAGAGGCGGUGCCUUCUCCCGGACCUGCAUCCACCUGCGGCGGCCGCCAGGGGGCGGGGCCCGACCGGCUUUGGGAAGCUUCUCCUCCCCUGCCCCGGGCGGGGCGCCCCUGAAGGCGGCGGGGCUCAGAUGUGGCGUCGCCGCCCGCGUCGCGUCCCGUCCGGUCCGGGCGGCCCCGAGCCGCCUCCCUGCCCAGACACGCCGACCCGCGGGCGGGCGGACACCAGUUGUCGGCGCCACGAGAACAGAGGUUUCGGAGCCCCUCCCCGGUACUGGCGCCACACGGGGUCCUGUCCCCGUCGGGCGCCGUGGGGGUGGGCGUGGAACGGUGCGGGAGACACAGAUCCCGAGUUCCUGAGUUUCUGGGCCCAGGGGACCCCCCCUGCCCGCAGCGGCAUGACACACCUGCUCUGAUGGUGGGUGGCUAGGGCCCUGGGCCCCCCCUCUCCGGUGGCCUCCCCCCUGUCCUGCUGGAGGCAGCCAGAGCUGUGCUGGAGUCCCGGCUCUGGCCUCAGUUUGCUCAUCUGUAAACGAGAGCGAUGACCCUACCUCCCAGCACUGUCGUGAGCGCUGACCAUAGGAGAGGCUCAUGGACAGUGGCCCGGGACAGUGCUAAAGAACGUCCCUGCCCACCUCCCCAGUCAGACUGGCAAGACUCCCCAGGGAGGGGCCUCGUGGUCGCCUGCACCCCAUCCCAUCCCAGAGGGGCCGGCUCUGGCAGUGUGGGGUGGCGGAAGCAGGGAGAGCACAGAUCCCAUUGCCAGUUGACAGAUGGGUAAACUGAGGCUCAACUUCCCCCCAUGAGUUAGUGACAGAAACAGGAGCAGACCCAGAGCCCCUAAUUCCCAGUCUAGCGCUUUUUUUCCAUUUUCUUAUCUCCACAUUUUUUGGGGUUUACAACUGCAGGGCCGCAGUGGUGGAGAGGGUAUGGGUCUCAGAAUAUGUUCAGGAUUCCCCUUUCCACACCCAGGCCUGUUUGUGGUCACACCAGUGACCGCUUCAUUCUGGCAUGCUCUAGGCCCCUGGAGUUCCAGAAGGGAGCCUGUCUGGGCACUGAUACUCCUGUCAGCCCUAAGGCUGGGCCCUGCGAAGAAACCUCCUGAAGCCUGCUCCUCCCAAUAGAAGAUCAGCUGACUUGGGGGUGUGCACCCCCUCUUUCUCUUUCUACCCGACCAGUUAGGCAGUCCCAGGACACAGAGCAAAGCUCUGAGUGGGAGAUUUGCUAGAGCCCCGGCUGUCUCCAAAGAGGGUGGCAAGGCGUCAGGAGGCCCAGCUCCACGGCGGGCCUAGGGCAAGGCCCCUCCUCUCUCUGGGCCUCAGUCUCUCCAUCUGUGAAAUAAGGUGGUUGGCUACACUUCUGCGGCUGGGUGUCACCCCUGGGAUACCUGUGCUACUGUCAUACAACCCUACACCUGAGGUGUGAGGUGGCCCUGACCUGUUCUGAAGGGACCUGGAAGGGGAAGGGCCUGGGUGGGUUGCACCCGCUACCUUCGGGCCAGUUUACCAAAGAAAGGGGCUCUUCCUGUCUGCAGUAUGGCAGUAUGUACGCCACUGUCACUGUAUGGAGUGUGGCAGUGGUUCCUGCCAGGUUCUCCCUCCCCACCUGGGGGUGAAGACAGGCAAGGGGAAGAGUCCCAGUCAUCCCUUUGGGGCCUGAUAGUUCGGGGGCUUGGCGAUGGAAAGGCACACUUUCAAGGGGUGACCUGCUGUGUGGUCUGCAGAGCCCGCCUAUGAGCCCAGCUUGUUCUCUGCUCUGGACCCAAGUGACAGAGCUCCUCUCCCUACCGGCCCUGGGCACUAGGGUGGCCAUGGGAGUGGCCUGGGGGGCAGGGUUUUGUGAGGGGACUUAGAGUCCUUGGGAAAGGAGCUCACAGGGAUACUGGCCAGCUUCCUUUUCCUUAGGAGGCCAAGGGGGGGCAUGUGUGUGUGUGUGGGGCAGGGCCUGCCACCUCUCACCCCACCAGGGGUAUAGUCUCAGCAGCCUUGGGCUUGUGAGGAGAUGGAGAGGGGGUGUCAGGCAAGCUGGAGAGCCCCAAGGGGGACCCCAGGCUCCCUCUGUGUCAGGGAGGGCCCCUGCAGCACCCCUAACUCACUGUGGGCAGGGCAAAGCCUAUGGCGGGUUGGAGGGUGACUGGCUCCCUAAAGCCUCCAUUUUGUACCCCAACUGUCUGUGGCCAAGAGGAAGAGGGAAGGCAGCAGGAAUGCAGGAAUGAAUCCUGGGCAGGCCCUGUCCCAACAGGCUGGGGUGGGAGGGCCAGGCUCCCGUGUGGGCCCACGCCCUCCUCAGCACAGCUCGUAGCUAGGCAGCCCGCACAAACAGCAGGAACACAGAGCAGCCCCGCAUGUGUGCACGCGUAUGUGCCUGUGCUGGGGGCCUCCUUGCCUCAAUCCCUAGAUGGGAACCCUUCUGGUUACCCUAUAGUCACCGUCCCAUGCAGGCCUGAGGAUGGGGGUCUGUCUGCUGCCACUGCUGAGCGCUUACUAUGUGUCGGGCCUGAUCCAUUCAUUAGCUCCUUUAACCCUUACAACCCGAUAGACAGGCACCCUUAUUACCCACUUUAUGGACAGAGAUACUGAGGCUUUGAAAAGCUGCACACACAAAAGAUCACAGAGCAAGAGAGUGGGGAGCCAAGCCAGAGUGCAAACUGAGGCCUUUCUGUCUCCAGAGUCUGGUUCUCCUCCAGGCAUGUGUAGACGUGUGUGCACAUGAGUAUCGACUGAGGGCUGUGUGUGUACCCAAGUGUGCAGUUGUGGGCUUCGAUGGCAGACCUGUAUCAGUCUGUGUUUAUCUAAGGACGCCUGCCUGUAGGUGUGGAUACCUGGGCCCAGGCAUGGAGGCGUGCAUGCAGACGUGUGUGAGCAUGUGACUCACAUAAGUACCCACGGGCAUAUCUGUGCAUAUGUGUUCACACAUACGGCACUUGAGUGCACACGUGCACAUGCUGUGUACAUGCGUUCACGUGUGCACACCGCUGUGAGCCUGUGCGUAUGUCGUCCGCUCCAAAGGCUGACCUUGCCCUGCUGCUCACCCACCUCCUGUCCCUUUCUCAAGCUCCUGACUCAGUGCCAAGAUGGGCUGUGUGAUGGCCUUGUUGACGGCGCUGGGACUUCUGAGGAUUUGGAAGGAAAGCCGUUUUGGGGAGGGAUAUGAUUGGCAAGGGGUUGGACAAGAGGAAGACGCAGGGGAUAAGAGGGAUUAAGCCUGGGGGUGGGGGUCAGCCUGGGUUUUCUUCAGUCCCAGGCAGGGGCAGAGGACCCUCUGCGGUCUGGGAGCCUCGGUCCUGUCCCACCCCCUGGCGUUCUCUAUCCACCUCUGUCAAGGCUCAGACCCCCAAUACCCCGGAAAAUGCUCCCGGGAGCCUGCAGGAGAGUCCUAGGGCCGGGAGGAUGCAUCUGUGAGGUCUGUGCCCUGUCCCCUUACUGUGUGUGGCAGGCAAUCCCCCCUCAAUCCAAGAUGGGACUCCCCUGUGGUUCCUGGGUGUCGGGGAACUUCCCAUUGCACCGCCCCUUUGCACCGACGCCCUCGGGCUCCUGCUGGCCGUGGACGUGCAGGCGGAGCAGCGGUCGGCUGGGGGCGCUCGGGGCCCGCGGAUGGAGAUGCGAGACAGGUCCGCCAGGAUGGGAACCGGCCGGGCGGGGGUGAAACACAGAUCCCAGCUGAUACAUUAAAGAAGGGAAAAUCAACAGACAAAGCAGGUUGCGCUAAAUGCUCUGAAGAACACAGGACAGGAUCUACGAGACAGGUACUCUGUCUCCCAGAGCUUGCCCAAGACCACACAGCCUGAACCAGGAUUUGCUCUGCUGGCCGCUUCUCAAUUCCUCUGACUGCAGCCUCCAAGGAGGGCGUGUUGCCCAGGGAACUGAGAUGAAGAAACAACUCCAGCGUUGCCCGAGGUCCCACGGGGAUCAGUCACGUGGUCGGCCACAACAGAGGAUUCCCCAUGACAGGGGACCACGAGUUGGAUCCUGGCCAGAAGCCAGAAGCCCCUUGAGGGCAAGGACCCCAUUUUACCCCACUCCUCCCUGCUGUACCUAGCACAGGGCACAGCAUAUAGCGGGUGCUCAAAAAGUCCUUCACGAGUAAAUCUUGCAUCCCUCGGUAGCUGCAG